UUUCAAUUCCCAGGACAAACAAGAGCAGCUAAAACACGCACUGUUAGCUUCCAGAAGUAUGUGUUCCCACACUCACAUAAAAGUUCUGUCUCCUAUGCUGUCUGUUCUGUCUGCAACCACUUUCUGAUAAUUUGUUCUGGAUGGGCUUCAGGAAAUGAAGGAAAUUGGUGCGCUGCAUCUGUUUUUUCAAUACAUGUAAUAAUUUAUGUCCAACUUUGGUAUUGUUCAAGAUACAGUGGUCCAAAAAGGUGCAAGAACUGUAAAGACACAACUUCUACCUACCCCAGCUCCUCAAUAGAUCUCACACGACCUCAAGCAUACUGUAGUCCCUCCUAUUUCCCUUCUCUGCAUCUUCUCUUCACUGUCCCAAGGACACUGCCCAUGUUGCACAUUUCCCCAUAUGGAAUUACAGCAAGUAAACAUAAAUGGGAAACAAAUCCCCUCCUGCAGAGGGGCAUGUUGCUCUGAAAUGAGCAGGACAAGAACUGGUUCCUGGCAGAUGCUGGACAGUGUGCGCUCGGCUCACAGUGGGUACCACUGGCAACAACCGGAAUGCUUCACUAGGAGCAUCUCAAGUGUUGCUGCUUUUUCCAACCAGCACAAUUCUUGUUCUCUGUCUGGUCUUUCCUCCCUUUACUUUCCACAGAGAACCAGAACUAACUCAGUAACAUUUCAGUUGCAGUUUUCUUGUUCCAGACUGUUCUCUGGUUCUGUACCACCCAUCCAUUUACCCAAAUCACUGGGGGGUUUACAGUCCUUUCCCCAGCUUAUUUUCCCCAAGAAAAAUUAAAAUGACAAAAUGUUUCUUGCCUUAUCCGUUCCCCAUUGGUGCAGAGCUCUAUGACUAAAAUGCUCAUCAGAGCCAAAAGCCUGGGCAUGACUGAAUUUUAGAAAAGCUAAACAUCAAUUGGUUUGAUUUAUAGACCCAGGAGACCAAGUCAAUCACACAAGAGUAAAGUAGAAUUAAUUUGCCAUUCAGAGCUGUCUAUAAAAUGUGCCGCCUAGCCUGAAAAAUAUAAAAAAUUAGUAUUAAGUAGAUUGUGUAAUUGCUUCUGCUGGGCAAAAUGGCUUCAAAUUCCAUCUUCAUAGACAUGUAUCCAGAACAUCCCUUGAUCCAUCCAGGCAAGGCAAAAUCUAUGCCUUUUUCCCACCAUGCCACUCCACUGAGUUCUGUGGACUUAGACAAGCACUGAAUACAGAACAUCUCAAGCUGUACCAGCUUGAUGGUAUCUCUGUAACUGGACUGAGUCUCUCUGGCAUCUGUUUGGGAGGCACAGCAUAAGGCAAGUUCAUCAGUUCAAACCUCAUAAAGAGAUGGUGCAGAUGCACUUCAGAAUAGAUAUUGCAGACUUUAUUUUCCAUUUGAGAACUUUGCAUCUUUUAGGUAAUGCACAUACAUAAAUACAGAACAUUAGCAUAACAGCUUAAGAGAUGCAAUCUGGGAUAUUUUAAGCUUCAUAGGAGUUUGCAGUUUUAUGACAGCAUUAAAAUGCUCUUUGAUUCAGCUGCAGGUUAACACAUGGUGCCCCAUUUUCAUUUCUGUGAUAGCUGGGUGUUAAGUUCAUGUGGCACGUGGAGCAGAAGGGAAGCAGCCAAGGAUGAGUAACCACUGCCAGACACCACGCAGAGCUGCACACCUGGCAAUCCUCCCAUUAGUGGAGCCGCUUGGGAAGGGUCGGCUGGCAGUCCUACCACAGGUAUCCGGCUCUCAACCACUCAGACAAGUCCCUACAUCACAAACAACAAAUUCACUUCCAAGACUAAAUUGUCUCAUAAAUUCCCAUCAUUCAAUAUUGUAAUUGUAUUUCUGUGGCUUAGACUGUGGCAACUAGGAAUGAAGCAAGCAGGAAGUGAAGGCUAAUUGUGAAAGGCUAACCUCCCUUUUAUACUGAAAUCAUUUUGUUAUGAAUAAGGGACCUAGAAAGGAAGGACAGCUAUUGAUGAGCCAGUGACAGAAUAAAAACUUCAUCAGUUGCUGAGGUUAUUUAGUCUGUCAGUACUGAAAGAUUUGAAAGCUUCUAAUUUAGUUCUUUACAAAAGAAGCUCCCUGCUGUUAACAACUUCACAAUGAAUUUUCAGCAUUCAACUUCAAAUCAGAAUCGGUAUUGUAGCUUAAUACUUCUCUCUCAGGUACUAAGUCAAACACAAAGCUCAAAUUCUGUCCAGAAAGCAUUACCAGCUGUUUACAGUUUAGGCAAUUUCUUUGUAUAGAUAAUAAAUUAAUCUACAUAUCUCAAUCCAGCAACUGAAGUCUGAUUACAGAAAUAUCUUAAAUAUUCUUUAUGUACUCAGUGGAGUUCUGCUUCAAACAGCACCUACAUCAAUUUAAAUAAAGUAUCCAGUAUACAGA